rnacentral:rRNA from 1 species
UUACACAGCCAUAUCACCCUGCAGCCCAAGACUCACUGAAGCUAAGCAGGGCUGAGCCUGGUCAGUACCUGGAUGGGAGAACUUUUAGGUUUUAGGUUGCUGUUGGAA